UACGAAGGGGGCUAGCGUUGUUCGGAAUUACUGGGCGUAAAGGGCGCGUAGGCGGUGUGUCAAGUCAGGCGUGAAAGCCCCGGGCUCAACCUGGGAACCGCGCUUGAGACUGGCACGCUCGAGUUCGGGAGAGGAUGGUGGAAUUCCCAGUGUAGAGGUGAAAUUCGUAGAUAUUGGGAAGAACACCGAUGGCGAAGGCAGCCAUCUGGACCGACACUGACGCUGAGGCG
rnacentral:rRNA from 1 species